rnacentral:rRNA from 1 species
CAGCCGCCGCGGUAAUACGAAGGGGGCUAGCGUUGCUCGGAAUGACUGGGCGUAAAGGGCGCGUAGGCGGCGAUCAAAGUCAGGCGUGAAAUUCCUGGGCUCAACCUGGGGGCUGCGCUUGAUACUGGGUUGCUUGAGUGGGGAAGAGGGUCGUGGAAUUCCCAGUGUAGAGGUGAAAUUCGUAGAUAUUGGGAAGAACACCGGUGGCGAAGGCGGCGACCUGGUCCUUUACUGACGCUGAGGCGCGAAAGCGUGGGGAGCAAACAGGAUUAGAUACCCCAGUAGUCCCUGUCUCUUAUAC